rnacentral:rRNA from 1 species
UGGGGAAUAUUGGGCAAUGGGGGAAACCCUGACCCAGCAACGCCGCGUGAAGGAUGAAGUAUUUCGGUAUGUAAACUUCGAAAGAAUAGGAAGAAUAAAUGACGGUACUAUUUAUAAGGUCCGGCUAACUACGUGCCAGCAGCCGCGGUAAUACGUAGGGACCAAGCGUUGUUCGGAUUUACUGGGCGUAAAGGGCGCGUAGGCGGCAAUUCAAGUCAUCUGUGAAAUCUCCGGGCUUAACUCGGAACGGUCAGAUGAUACUGCUUUGCUAGAGUGCAGAAGGGGCAAUCGGAAUUCUUGGUGUAGCGGUGAAAUGCGUAGAUAUCAAGAGGAACACCUGAGGUGAAGACGGGUUGCUGGGCUGACACUGACGCUGAGGCGCGAAAGCCAGGGGAGCAAACGGGAUUAGAUACCCCCGUAGUCCCUGAGCGGGCUGGCAAGGCGCAU